rnacentral:lncRNA from 1 species
UCCUCGCCGUGAUUCCAACGCAACCAAAACCGUCGCCAUCCGCCGCCGGACGCGCCUCCACGCGCCGCCUAAAGACGUCGUCACGACCAGGUUGAUCUUUCACCCGUGCCUCUUUGCUCGCGAUUUUCGAGCUGUUUCCGACGCUUUGGUUCGUCACCUCCGGUAUCAUCGUGUUCUUCUCUCCGUCAGCUUUCCAACGCCGCC